CAUAAUACUUCUCGAAUCGCACGGCUUGUGUGGCGAUGCUUCAUUCAAAUAUCUGCCCUAUCAACUUUCGAUGGUAGGAUAGUGGCCUACCAUGGUUUCAACGGGUAACGGGGAAUAAGGGUUCGAUUCCGGAGAGGGAGCCUGAGAAACGGCUACCACAUCCAAGGGAAGGCAGCAGGCGCGCAAAUUACCCAAUCCCGACACGGGGAGGUAGUGACAAUAAAUAACAAUAUAGGGCUCUUUCGGGUCUUAUAAUUGGAAUGAGUACCAAUUUAAAUCCCUUAACGAGGAACAAUUGGAGGGCAAGUCUGGUGCCAGCAGCCGCGGUAAUUCCAGCUCCAAUAGCGUAUAUUAAAGUUGUUGCAGUUAAAAAGCUCGUAGUUGAACUUCAGGCCUGGCUGGAUGGGUCUACCUAACGGUAUGUACUGUCUGGCUGGGUCUUACCUCUUGGUGAGCCGGCAUGCCCUUUACUGGGUGUGUUGGGGAACCAGGACUUUUACCUUGAGAAAAUUAGAGUGUUCAAAGCAGGCCUAUGCCCGAAUACAUUAGCAUGGAAUAAUAAAAUAGGACGUGCGGUUCUAUUU
rnacentral:rRNA from 1 species